CUUUCCCUGUGGAAGGAUGUACUGAAGUGAAGUGCGAUUUCUUGUGCGACGUACUUUGCUCGUCUACGUUUUGGGCCGUGUUCAGUUCAGUUAUGGAAUGAUUUAUCCUAGCAAAUUGUUGAGUUACAGGUGUGUGCGCUAUUUAUCAACGACUACAUGCUGGCCUCGUCAACAAUGUUCAAAAUGAGCGACGAAAAGAAAACGUUUUUCAGUUUAAAAAUAUUAAGCGUUCAUCACAACACUGCCACAAACCAACGCACUGGAUUACGCCAAGAACCUGUCGAAACGCGCGCAGCCCAGCGUCAUUACUUAACAGAAGCCGGUUCAAAACGCGCAGCUCCUGUUCAUGACGUCAUCACUAAACUGAAGCCAGCUGAACACGCGCAGCACG